GCUCACUAUAUUAUGGGGAAACAGCGCCCUCUAUUGGUGGUCGGCUACGAUAAGAGCAGUGUGUACAGCUACCUCGUUGCCAUUAUAUGCAAGACGGGCACGAGGUGAGUUCUUCGCUGUUAGCACAGUGGUAAAGUAUGAUGUAUUAUGAGCCAUUGUCAAUUGUAUGAUCCCUGGCGGGAUGUAUUUAUGGCAAAUGAGGUACUACAUGCAUUUUAUUAUCGUUAUAACACUGUGCUACACUGUGUUUGGAAAUAACAGCUAGUUGAUGCUAAUUGCUAAUGCUGUUCCUCGUAGAGGUGCUGUGACUGCUGUGAAGAGCCUAUAUGUGACCAGUACAUAUCCUGUUCCACGCAGGUAUUUGUUUUAUUUUGCUGCCUUUCUUUUAAAUAUAAAUGUAUUAUUGUGGCCAUUAUAUGCAAGACGGGCACGAGAGGUGCUGUGACUGCUGUGAAGAGCCUAUAUGUGACCAGUACAUAUCCUGUUCCACGCAGAUUAAACGCAUCAUCCCACAUCUUCCGUCUCUUGGCCAUCUUUAAAACACAACGCGGAGGUAUUAUACUAGGAAAACAAGACUACUUCUAUCUGGACCGAGCUGAACAAACAGACGGCCAAGUUCAGUACGGUUACAUU